rnacentral:antisense_RNA from 1 species
GGGAGCUUAGAUGUGGAAGCUCUUUGGAAACCAAGAAACACUCUGCAAAUGAAAAGGAUACCAACUUCAUCUCUCUUUAAGAAUACAAUAUUAGUUUAAAAGAUUGUUCAACUUAAAGCAAUCUUGUAGAGAUUGUCACCCAUGAUUGAUGCUGGCAUAAGAAUGUUUAUCACAGCAUGGCAUAUAUUGGAAGUUUAGUAAAUGAAGAUACAUCCAAUCUGACAUUCCAUUCACAACCACAAAGAGAUAACGUAGAAACAUAUUUAGUAAUGUGAGAAAAUACUAAAUAUUAAGUGAAAAAGGGUCUUUUAUUAUGUCUUCCUUGAAGUGCUCUGAUCAGAUCUGCAAUACUUGAGAUGUAAAUUCAACUCUACUUUUUUUUUCUUUUAAAAAAAAGAGCAACAUAAUCCUUAGUGGUCCUAAAUAUUAUUCAACUUAUCUUAACAUUCAAUUUCUUUAUAUAGCAAAGGAAUGCAUUUUUAGCAAUGAAAUAAACAGCAAAC